GAUGGAUCUCCUAUUCAACAGUAAUGGACUAUCCUAAGUAUAUGGACGACAGUUUUUACAUGGACUGGGAGAUGCAUAUGGGCGGCUGUGGAGGGUUCAUGACGUCAAAAGUACUAAAAAUUAAAGCUGCUUUGGGUUUACCGUUUGCUAUUCCUUCCGAGUAAGUACUGUGGAUGUAAUGCUGUUGUACUUGAUUGGAUGAGUGGACUGGAACAAAUUUGAAGGAAAUCUUUUCAACUAGGAAUAUAAACUUAAAAAACAA